rnacentral:rRNA from 1 species
UACGUAGGGUGCAAGCGUUAAUCGGAAUUACUGGGCGUAAAGCGAGCGUAGUCGGUUAUUUAAGUCGGGUGUGGAAGCCCCGGGCUCAACCUGGGAAUUGCAUUCGAUACUGGAUAGCUAGAGUUCGGCAGAGGGAAGCGGAGUUUCCGGUGUAGCGGUGAAAUGCGUAGAUAUCGGAAGGAACAUCAGUGGCGAAAGCGGCUUCCUGGACCAGAACUGACGAUCAGGCUCGAAAGCGUGGGGAGCAAACAGG